ACGACGGGUAGCCGGCCUGAGAGGGUGUCCGUCCACCCUGGGACUGAGAUACGUCCAGACUCUACGGGAGGCAGCAGUGGGGAUAUUGCACCAUUGGCGCAAGCCUGAUGCAGCGACGCGCGUGGGGGAUGACGGCCUUCGGGAUGUAAACCUCUUUCAGUAUCGACGAAGCUCCGGGAUUUUUCUUGGGGUGACGGUAGGUACAGAAGAAGCACCGGCCAACUACGUGCCAGCAGCCGCGGUAAUACGUAGGGUGCGAGCGUUGUCCGGAAUUACUGGGCGUAAAGAGCUCGUAGGUGGUUUGUCACGUUGUCCGUGAAAACUCACAGCUUAACUGUGGGCGUGCGGGCGAUACGGGCAGACUGGAGUACUGUAGGGGAGACUGGAAUUCCUGGUGUAGCGGUGGAAUGCGCAGAUAUCAGGAGGAACACCGGUGGCGAAGGCGGGUCUCUGGGCAGUAACUGACGCUGAGGAGCGAAAGCGUGGGGAGCGAACAGGAUUAGAUACCCUGGUAGUCCACGCCGUAAACGGUGGGUACUAGGUGUGGGUUUCCUUCCUUUAGGGAUCCGUGCCGUAGCUAACGCAUUAAGUACCCCGCCUGGGGAGUACGGCCGCAAGGCUAAAACUCAAAGGAAUUGACGGGGGCCCGCACAAGCGGCGGAGCAUGUGGAUUAAUUCGAUGCAACGCGAAGAACCUUACCUGGGUUUGACAUGCACAGGACGCCGGUAGAGAUAUCGGUUCCCUUGUGGCCUGUGUGCAGGUGGUGCAUGGCUGUCGUCAGCUCGUGUCGUGAGAUGUUGGGUUAAGUCCCGCAACGAGCGCAACCCUUGUCUCAUGUUGCCAGCACGUUAUGGUGGGGACUCGUGAGAGACUGCCGGGGUCAACUCGGAGGAAGGUGGGGAUGACGUCAAGUCAUCAUGCCCCUUAUGUCCAGGGCUUCACACAUGCUACAAUGGCCGGUACAAAGGGCUGCGAUCCCGUGAGGGUUAGCGAAUCCUUUAAAGCCGGUCUCAGUUCGGAUUGGGGUCUGCAACUCGACCCCAUGAAGUCGGAGUCGCUAGUAAUCGCAGAUCAGCAACGCUGCGGUGAAUACGUUCCCGGGCCUUGUACACACCGCCCGUCACGUCAUGAAAGUCUUUAACUCCCGAAGCCGGUAGCCUAACCCUUGCGGAGGAAGCCGACAAGGAGUAACGUAGAACACUAUGC
rnacentral:rRNA from 1 species